rnacentral:lncRNA from 1 species
CAAACAAAUCUUCUGCCUCUAAUCUCCAAAUUAGAAUAUAAGAAGUCUUAAAAUUGUGAAAACCUCAUGGAUUUGGGCAAACUGAAUGUAUAUAUAAGUUUUUGAAGUUGGCACAAAAAAUAUGAAAUGAGGCCUGCUCUUUUCAGUUAAGUGUUUGUCACAUUUGAUUUCGAGUAUUUGGGGCAAAUGCUCCAUUAACUCUAAAAUCCAUGAAUUCUGUAACUAUAGUUAAAAUUUUGAAUCUUGCAACUAAGGUCAGCCUCAUUCAGAAUUUUUUAUUUUAUGAGCAUAAUUUAUUGUUUUAAAUUAAUUUUGUAGCUGAUAGCUGUUAGCACUUAUUAUGUAAAUUGAAUAAUUUAUCAAAUGUAGAAAUUUGUUAACCUAAUCCAUUUUUACGUAAAUACGCCAAAGAUUUUUAGUAGGUUUUAAAAUAGUUUAAAAGAAUUUAAAUUCUUUGUUGUUUGAAUAAAUAUUUGUCCAAAGAAGCACAGUUGAAGUCCUAGGAUUAUGGAUUUUCUAAAAAAAAAUCA